rnacentral:lncRNA from 1 species
UUUCUUUUGUUUGGCUUGGUGACAAGUAUCACAAACAUAGUUCUUAUCAAUAUGCAUAUUAGGAUAGUAUGUUUGUAGAAUUUUUAACCUUUCAUCCGAGGGGUGACCCAUUCUGAGGUGCCAAAUGUUGCUUGGUUCUGUAGUGCAACUCAUAAUCCUGCCAUCAAUUUUAUUGAAGACGUAUAGUCCAGCUACAAGAUCAACUGUACCAAUCUUGUCUUUGGUUCUG